rnacentral:rRNA from 1 species
GAUGAACGCUGGCGGCGUGCCUAAUACAUGCAAGUCGAGCGAACAGAUGAGAAGCUUGCUUCUCUGAUGUUAGCGGCGGACGGGUGAGUAACACGUGGGUAACCUACCUAUAAGACUGGGAUAACUCCGGGAAACCGGGGCUAAUACCGGAUAAUAUAUUGAACCGCAUGGUUCAAUGUUGAAAGACGGUUUCGGCUGUCACUUAUAGAUGGACCCGCGCCGUAUUAGCUAGUUGGUAAGGUCACGGCUUACCAAGGCAACGAUACGUAGCCGACCUGAGAGGGUGAUCGGCCACACUGGAACUGAGACACGGUCCAGACUCCUACGGGAGGCAGCAGUAGGGAAUCUUCCGCAAUGGGCGAAAGCCUGACGGAGCAACGCCGCGUGAGUGAUGAAGGUCUUAGGAUCGUAAAACUCUGUUGUUAGGGAAGAACAAAUUUGUUAGUAACUGAACAAGUCUUGACGGUACCUAACCAGAAAGCCACGGCUAACUACGUACCAGCCGCCGCCGUAA